UUACUGCAAAAUAACUUAGUUGUUUUUAAAUUAUUAUUACAUUAGAACGUUACACGGUUUCUUUGAAUAGAAUGUAAGUUUUAAACAUCAACUAGGAAAAGUAGGAGGUGAUUCUCGACUAUAUAACACAGCGUUUGUCAGUCAAACGAUAUCAGUUCAGCUUGUGUUCCCCACAAGCAGCAACAGGCGACAGACAUCAUCAGCAUAAUCAAAAAAAAAAAUACUUCAAUCCUUCAAAGUUAACCAGUGAAGAACCAGCAUCAUCAACAGACACUGAAAAUUGGGGAAUACUUUAACCGUACAGCUAUCUAUAUAAUGAAUUCUCACAAUAAUAUUUUAAACGAAAUAGAAUAUUAUAAACAAAUGAUUCAAAGUUAUACGGAAACGGAUGAAAAAGACCACAUCAUGAAAAGAUGGAAACUUAAACAGAAUAAAAAAAAUAUUAAAAAUAUAAAAUAUCAAUUGUUUUUAGCUAGAAUGUGUACUUCUCCUUCUCUAGAUGUAACUUAUAUAAAUCAAUAUUAUAUAAAUAAUUUUAUAUUAAAAGAAAAAAUGCUUUUUUUAAAAGAAGAGAGAGAAAAGAUAAUUAUAUUUCAUCGCUCUAGAUGUUCUGACUAUUGGGAAAGUAUCAAUAAUUUCAAUAUACAAAUUCAAAAUCUUAAUUUAAAGUUACAGGAGUUGAAUGAAAUCUGUUAAAAUUGGAUUAUAUUUUAAUAAUAUUUAGUACAUAUUAUAGUAUUAUGCUUA